rnacentral:tRNA from 9 species
GAGUGGUAGUUCAGUUGGUUAGAAUACCGGCCUGUCACGCCGGGGGUCGCGGGUUCGAGCCCCGUCCACUC